GUWGGGUGCAAGCGUUAUCYGGAAUUAUYRGGCGUAAAGAGCUCGUAGGCGGUUUGUCGCGUCUGCUGUGAAACCCCGAGGCUCAACCUCGGGCCUGCAGUGGGUACGGGCAGACUAGAGUGCGGUAGGGGAGAUUGGAAUUCYUGGUGUAGCGGUGGAAUGCGCAGAUAUCAGGAGGAACACCGAUGGCGAAGGCAGAUCUCUGGGCCGUAACUGACGCUGAGGAGCGAAAGGGUGGGGAGCAAACAGGCUUAGAUACCCUGGUAGUCCACCCCGUAAACGUUGGGAACUAGUUGUGGGGUCCAUUCCACGGAUUCCGUGACGCAGCUAACGCAUUAAGUUCCCCGCCUGGGGAGUACGGCCGCAAGGSUA
rnacentral:rRNA from 1 species